GUGCUACAGAUCUGACCCGACCAUAAGGACAGAAAGCCCUGCAGAGUCAGAAGAAAAAACAAUUAUGAAGAUUCUCCAGCAUCGGCAGUUCCUAUUAUCAGUUGAAUUGUUCGCUAGCAGGCGAGAGAGAGAGUGACAGCAACAAUGGAAACAGCAAAAAGACAAGCCCAACACUCUUUUUUAAAAAAAGGAGACGACGAGCCAAGUCAGUGGGCUGGUAAAAAGAGAGAAAAGUCACGUAUUGAAAAUGCAUAGAGACAUCGGCAUUCAAGUGCCUAUAAGGAAUAACUGAAAGCUACAGGAGUUGAACAACAAUGAGGUGGGAGCACUAAGAAUUGCCUCUUUCAGUGAAGAUGGACCACCAUGAUGGAUUUUAUCUGAAUGCAAUAGGAGAUCUGGAAUUAUCAAUUCCUACUUCUUUAUAUCUACUGGACUGACAAGGUCUCAAAUGGACAUUUUCUUACUUAAAAUCUUUCAACUUUCCAUAAUCAAUUUUUUCAAAAAUGUAAACAGGAUUGCAAGUAGUUUUUUUUUCAUCUAUGUCACUUUUUCUAGUUAGUGGGACUUUAUUGAGUUUAUUCCAAACAGCAGAUUCACUUCUUGGUAAGAUCUAGGGGUGAAAUUAAUGGCAAUGGAGGAAUUGCAACAAUGACCUGGAUAGAAAGGGUCAUUUCUGUUGGAUGCAAUUCAAUAGCUAUUGGGCAAUUAACUGAUGGGCAACACAGUCUCUAUCUCUUUUUGAAGAUUAUGAUCCACUUCCAAGAGAUACUAGCUAUUCAGAGUGCCAACAACCUGUCCAACCCAGCAGCAUCCCCAUGAGCAGUGGCCACUGCUGGUAUUACAGCUAGACUGGACCAACAACCAUGGUGACUCUGAAGACUAAGUAAAUAGAAUGAGUUGCAAGGAUGGAUUUGGAAGCCAGGGAAUGACAGUGGUUGUUGAGUGUCGGCUGGCUUCUUGUCAAAGGGUAAUCAUUACCUCUGAGGAGACUAUUAAUAACCUUACAGGUACCUAAUUCUAUGGCCACUCCACUGAAUCUACAAGAAAGUCAUCAGUUUUUAUACACACAUGUGCAGAGAGUUGGAAAGGUGAUGUAAAGUAAUGUGUUUUGAUGUCUCUGAGAUCUCAAUCUUAAUGUCUUAUAUUGUUCUUAGAUUCCGCAGUAUCUUGUAGACUCUUGUAGUGACAAACAGCGCAGAAUUACUUUUCAUUGACAACUUUAUAAUACAUUGUGUAGGUGUGUAUAUUUCCUGCAGAAAUGUUUAUUAUGCUGGCUUUCUGUCAAUGCUACCAUUAUACAUAUUGAGAAGAGCACAGCUGAGAAUCAGUCUUCACUGUCUAUCUGGUCUCAAUGCUUAAAUCGGUCUAGAUAUUGGGUAUUUUGAUCAGUGAGACUAUUGCUUCCGCUCAAAUUGAAAUUAUAACAAUGUGAAUCUAAGUUGCCUUUUGACCAAUGAUCAUCAAUUAGACGUGGAACAACAGAAAUUAUAAUUCACUCCGAGUUUAGUGGGAAUCUGGAAGUCAAUACGGUAAAGGUGGUAGAGGGGAAAAAAGAGCCGUCAACAUAUUUAAGAAGUAUUCAUAUUCAGACUUGCAUUUGCAAAGCAUUCGAUGCUAUGUGUCAAGUGCUGAAAAAUCAGAUUAAAUAAUUAGGCGGUUGUCACAUACGAAAUGGCUGUUUGUGCUGCAGAUCUCCAUAACUGUCAAAUCUAUAAUGGCUAACUGGAAAGCUUCUGUGAGAAUUUUCAUUUUUGUGUCCAUUUUAUGAGGUGCUUUUAUCUUCUGAAGUGUGGAGGCAUCAUUGUAUGUUUGUGUUUUGUGGAAUCUAAGGUUUGGCCUUGUUUUACUUUGUAAUUUCUAUGCUCAUUUAAGUGGAUAUUUACUGAAGAAAAUCAUUCUGUGUGUCAAAGAUGAUCCAUUGUUUAAUGGUUAUAAAUUA